AGGGCAUGCAUUAUAACGUUUGCUGAAAUAGUACACACACGUUUAGAAACUAUUUCAUGUUUCUAAAUUAUUUCUUUAUUCAGACGACGGGUACUGCUAUGGGAUCCCUUAUGGCUCUUAACUAUGAUAAUUUGUAUGUGAAACAGUACUCAAUACUCUCAAAAAAUAUUUAUUGCCUAACAUUAUUAUAUGGAAACGGUUCAUUUAUGGUAUUUUUGUUCUAUGGAGGGGUGAUGCAAAACAGCUCCAGGCAUUCCAUGCUUUUCUUAACUCUUAUUCUGAGCACCAGAGAUUUACUAUGCAAUCUGGCACACGUCAAAUCCGUGUCCUUGAUCUUCUGAUUGUUGUGAGGAUAAUGUUCUAUUCACUGAUAUAUACAGGAAACUUACUGAUCGUAACAGUUUGUUGAGGGCUGAUAGUGGUCACCAGCUUCCCUUGAAAAACAGUUUUCCCUACAGCCAAUUCUGUCGAAUCAAAAUAAUUUGCAAAAAACAAUCAGAUUUCGAAAGAAAUAUGUCUGAGAUGCAAAGAAAAUUCAAGGACAGCGGGUACAAAAAUGGUCAGAUUAAAAUAAAAAACAAAGCAUUCUUACUACCUGCUAUUCAAAGUGCUCUGAACAAAUUAAGGGGAAUCGUUCGCAAACAUUGGCACAUUCUAAAAUCGGUAAUGUGUUUUCGGACAUAUUCUCGCGGGGCAGAAAUCUCAGAGCACAAUUGUUAAACUCUGAUUUACCACCCCAAAACAACGCCUCUACCGGAUGGAAACUACAAGUGUAAUGGCUGCGCUCAAUGCAAUGGCACUUACAAACGUAGCUCCUUCAAACACCCCCAAACAGGGAAACAAAUCCACAAUUAAAGGUAUUUGUGCUCCAAUGAUGCAGUUGUUUAUUUUAUGAAUUGUAAUUGUGGUAAAACGAAGUGCGAAUUAAAAGUAUGAAUCUCGGAGUAUCAUAAAAACCAGUUGCGGCCUACUUUUUGGAAUCGAACCACUCGAUUUUGUCCCUACGUUAUAUCGGCACCGAACACGUCACCAUCCCUAGGAGAGGAGAUGUGCCUAGCAACACGUACCUCGGGAGGCAACGGGUGUUCGAGCAGUAAGGGCUAACAAAGCUGUCUGUAGACGAAAGUCGGCAAAUUAAGUCGUGGGGAGGUGCAUCUGCGACAGCCGAAAGUCGGACACUAGUGGUUUUCCAACAGCAAGGCUCAGAUCAACAUGGCAGUGUCAACAUAAUUGCUAUUGCUUAUAAAAAAAAUGUCUUUGUACAUUUCGAAAUAAACUUUUCUAUACCCCCAUAUCACACACUUACAAACU